UGCAGUCGACGGAGUCGUUACGAAAUGGAAUGAAGAUUUAUCUGAUUGAAGUUUUGUAACAAUGGCUUUAGUGGCGGACUGGUGAGUAACACGUAAGCAAUCUACCUAUUAGAGGGGAAUAACAAUGAGAAAUCAUUGCUAAUACCGCAUAAGCUUGUAGUACCGCAUGGUACAGCAAGAAAAGGAGCAAUCCGCUAAUAGAUGAGCUUGCGGCUGAUUAGCUAGUUGGUGUGGUAACGGCAUACCAAGGCAACGAUCAGUAGCCGGGCUGAGAGGCUCUUCGGCCACAUUGGGACUGAGAUACGGCCCAGACUCCUACGGGAGGCAGCAGUCGGGAAUUUUGCGCAAUGGAGGAAACUCUGACGCAGUGACGCCGCGUAUAGGAAGAAGGUUUUCGGAUUGUAAACUAUUUUAGUCAGGGAAGAAAAAUGACAGUACCUGAAGAAUAAGCUCCGGCUAACUACGUGCCAGCAGCCGCGGUAAUACGUAGGGAGCAAGCGUUAUCCGGAUUUAUUGGGUGUAAAGGGUGCGUAGACGGGAAGACAAGUUGGUUGUGAAAGCCCUCGGCUCAACUGAGGAACUGCAACCAAAACUAUCAUUCUUGAGUGCGG
rnacentral:rRNA from 1 species